GAAAUAUAUGAAGGAGAGCACUGAUUAUUUAUCGUAUUAUGAAUGUGCGUGACAUUCAGAAAAUGUCGCAUUUGAUAAGCCCCCAAAAAACUCUUAAGUUCAGGAAAACAAUGGAACAUUCACAUCCUGAAUUAUGUAACUGUUUAACCCCAUCUACAGCUACCAAGCGACGCUACAAUAACGCUCACAUUAUAAACAACUAAGCUGGCAGCAUUCCAAGCGCGCGCUUCAAUUAUUAUAAAUGUAACUAAUACAGUAUGUUGCGUCGCGCGCUUGAAGACUUAAGUUCUCGCUUCGCGUUGCUCGUCGAAGUUACUUUGGUUCUUUAACAAACAUGGACGGUCACAAGAGGCGUAAACAUAGUCCACAGAGUCUGAUGAGUUCGCUGAACUGAAACUUUUUUCCAUUUUAUUACUCUGCAACGCAACAGUCGAAAGCGUCACGGUGGGUUUUUCGAGGGGUGGGGCGUUGUAUUUUCCCAUCGCUGAAAACUUGCAAACAGAAACAUCAAAGCAUCCGCAUCCGUCUUUUGAUACGAUACCGAAUAUGUCGAUCACUUACCGAUACUGGUCACAUUUGAAUGGUUCAUAUCUAUCAAUAUCUUCAUUUUUUUAAACCUUUUUUCGCUGUGGGAAAGUAAAUUUUCCAUAAUUUACUUCCAACGUUCGAUAGUAAAAUUAUGGAAAACGAUGGGUUGAUUCCCGUCCUUGGCGGUACGGAGAGCAGCAUUUUUCUCAGCGCGGUGUCCGGAGCAGCGAGGCUGACGUCAGUGAGAGGAAGUUCAGGCGGGAUCGAGUCCCGCCGUCGCCAGGACCGAAGCCGCUUGCCGCUGCUGCUGCUGUGUCUCUCUGUAACCCCGCCCGGGUCCUAGCGCCACAGCCACAGCCACCAUAACACACAGAAACCUGCAAACGCUGUAGAAAUUUUGAAAAAAUAUAGUUGCCGUUGUAUAAAAUCUUGCUGUGGAGAGUUUAUUAAACGAGAUAAAAAUGUGCUUUGGAAAA